rnacentral:rRNA from 1 species
GAUUGACCUCGGAUCAGGUAGGGAUACCCGCUGAACUUAAGCAUAUCAAUAAGCGGAGGAAAAGAAACCAACAGGGAUUGCCUCAGUAACGGCGAGUGAAGCGGCAACAGCUCAAAUUUGAAAUCUGGCUCCUUGGGGGGCCCGUUUGGAUUUGUAGAGGACUCUUCGGGCGCGGUACCGGCCUAAGCCCCUUGGAACAAGGCGUCAUAGAGGGUGAGAAUCCCGUCUGCGGUCGGCCUCCAAGCCCACACGAAGAUCCUUCGACGAGUCGAGUUGUUUGGGAAUGCAGCUCAAAAUGGGUGGUAAAUUUCAUCUAAAGCUAAAUACCUGCCAGAGACCGAUAGCGCACAAGUAGAGUGAUCGAAAGAUGAAAAGCACUUUGGAAAGAGAGUUAAAAAGUACGUGAAAUUGUUGAAAGGGAAGCGCUUGCGACCAGACUUGCCCGCGGGCGUUCCACGGUGGUUCUCCGCCGUGCACUCGUGCGCGAUCAGGCCAGCAUCGGUUCCGGCGGCCGGAGAAAGGCCCUGGGAAUGUAGCUCCCCCCGGGGAGUGUAGAGCUGGGGUGCCAUGCGGCCAGCUGGGACCGAGGACCGCGCUUCGGCAAGGAUGCUGGCGUAAUGGUCGUAAGCGGCCCGUCUUGAAACACGGACCAAGGAGUCUAACAUCUAUGCGAGUGUUUGGGUGUCAAACCCAUGCGCGCAAUGAAAGUGAACGGAGGUGGGAGCCCUUGAGGGUGCACCAUCGACCGAUCCUGAAGUUUACGGAUGGAUUUGAGUAUGAGCAUAGCUGUUGGGACCCGAAAGAUGGUGAACUAUGCCUGAAUAGGGUGAAGCCAGAGGAAACUCUGGUGGAGGCUCGCAGCGGUUCUGACGUGCAAAUCGAUCGUCAAAUUUAGGUAUAGGGGCGAAAGACCAAUCGAACCAUUGAGCGAGGUCACUAGGUGGUUGAUUAGGGCCCUGCACACGCGCAGGGCCCCCAGCCCUUCGGGGUGACGGUGCUAAGUGCAUAGAUCCCUCAUGGGRAAGAUAUGCUGCGGUUGCCGUUCGUAUGGCGCCCGUCCACAG